rnacentral:rRNA from 1 species
UCUACGGGAGGCAGCAGUGGGGAAUAUUGCACAAUGGGGGAAACCCUGAUGCAGCGACGCCGCGUGAGUGAAGAAGUAAUUCGUUACGUAAAGCUCUAUUAGCAGGGAAGAAAAUGACGGUACUUGCGUAAGAAGCACCGGCUACCUACGUGCCACCAGCCGCGGUAAUAAGCAGGGGGCGAGAGUUAUCAGGAUGUACUGGGUGUUAAGGGGGCGUAGGCGGGGCGCCAAGUAUGGAGUGAAAUGCCGCAGCUUAACAGCGGACCUGCUUUGGAAACUGGCGAACUAGAGUGCUGGAGGGGUAAGCGGAAUUCCUAGUGUAGCGGUGAAAUGCGUAGAUAUUAGGAGGAACACCGGUGGCGAAGGCGGCUUACUGGACCGUAACUGACGUUGAGGCUCGAAAGCGUGGGGAGCAAACAGGAUUAGAUACCCGUGUAGUC